AAGGGUGUCGUACAACGGCAAGUAUAUCAAAUUCCAAAUUUGAGGAUGGUGGUUCGAUUCCGCCCACCCUUG
rfam:Wallemia ichthyophaga EXF-994 unplaced genomic scaffold scaffold27, whole genome shotgun sequence.